CGGUUAAGUUAGAAAGGGCGCACGGUGGAUGCCUUGGCACUAGGAGCCGAUGAAGGACGGGACGAACACCGAUAUGCUUCGGGGAGCUGUAAGCAAGCUUUGAUCCGGAGAUUUCCGAAUGGGGAAACCCACCACUCGUAAUGGAGUGGUAUCCAUAUCUGAAUACAUAGGAUAUGAGAAGGCAGACCCGGGGAACUGAAACAUCUAAGUACCCGGAGGAAGAGAAAGCAAAUGCGAUUCCCUGAGUAGCGGCGAGCGAAACGGGACCAGCCCAAACCAAGAGGCUUGCCUCUUGGGGUUGUAGGACACUCUGUACGGAGUUACAAAAGAACGAGGUAGAUGAAGAGGUCUGGAAAGGCCCGCCAUAGGAGGUAACAGCCCUGUAGUCAAAACUUCGUUCUCUCCUGAGUGGAUCCUGAGUACGGCGGAACACGUGAAAUUCCGUCGGAAUCCGGGAGGACCAUCUCCCAAGGCUAAAUACUCCCUAGUGACCGAUAGUGAACCAGUACCGUGAGGGAAAGGUGAAAAGCACCCCGGAAGGGGAGUGAAAGAGAUCCUGAAACCGUGUGCCUACAAGUAGUCAGAGCCCGUUAACGGGUGAUGGCGUGCCUUUUGUAGAAUGAACCGGCGAGUUACGAUCCCGUGCAAGGUUAAGCAGAAGAUGCGGAGCCGCAGCGAAAGCGAGUCUGAAUAGGGCGAAUUGAGUACGUGGUCGUAGACCCGAAACCAGGUGAUCUACCCAUGUCCAGGGUGAAGUUCAGGUAACACUGAAUGGAGGCCCGAACCCACGCACGUUGAAAAGUGCGGGGAUGAGGUGUGGGUAGGGGUGAAAUGCCAAUCGAACCUGGAGAUAGCUGGUUCUCUCCGAAAUAGCUUUAGGGCUAGCCUCAAGGUAAGAGUCUCGGAGGUAGAGCACUGAUUGGACUAGGGGCCCCUACCGGGUUACCGAAUUCAGUCAAACUCCGAAUGCCGAUGACUUAUCCUUGGGAGUCAGACUGCGAGUGAUAAGAUCCGUAGUCGAAAGGGAAACAGCCCAGACCGCCAGCUAAGGUCCCAAAGUAUACGUUAAGUGGAAAAGGAUGUGGAGUUGCUUAGACAACCAGGAUGUUGGCUUAGAAGCAGCCACCAUUUAAAGAGUGCGUAAUAGCUCACUGGUCGAGUGACUCUGCGCCGAAAAUGUACCGGGGCUAAACGUAUCACCGAAGCUGCGGACUGUUCUUCGAACAGUGGUAGGAGAGCGUUCUAAGGGCUGUGAAGCAAGACCGGAAGGACUUGUGGAGCGCUUAGAAGUGAGAAUGCCGGUAUGAGUAGCGAAAGAGGGGUGAGAAUCCCCUCCACCGAAUGCCUAAGGUUUCCUGAGGAAGGCUCGUCCGCUCAGGGUUAGUCGGGACCUAAGCCGAGGCCGAAAGGCGUAGGCGAUGGAUAACAGGUUGAUAUUCCUGUACCACCUCCUCACCAUUUGAGCAAUGGGGGGACGCAGGAGGAUAGGGUAAGCGCGGUAUUGGAUAUCCGCGUCCAAGCAGUUAGGCUGGGAAAUAGGCAAAUCCGUUUCCCGUGAAGGCUGAGCUGUGAUGGCGAGCGAAUUAUAGUAGCGAAGUUCCUGAUUCCACACUGCCAAGAAAAGCCUCUAGCGAGGUGAGAGGUGCCCGUACCGCAAACCGACACAGGUAGGCGAGGAGAGAAUCCUAAGGUGAUCGAGAGAACUCUCGUUAAGGAACUCGGCAAAAUGACCCCGUAACUUCGGGAGAAGGGGUGCUCUGUUAGGGUGCAAGCCCGAGAGAGCCGCAGUGAAUAGGCCCAGGCGACUGUUUAGCAAAAACACAGGUCUCUGCGAAGCCGUAAGGCGAAGUAUAGGGGCUGACGCCUGCCCGGUGCUGGAAGGUUAAGAGGAGCGCUUAGCGUAAGCGAAGGUGCGAAUUGAAGCCCCAGUAAACGGCGGCCGUAACUAUAACGGUCCUAAGGUAGCGAAAUUCCUUGUCGGGUAAGUUCCGACCCGCACGAAAGGCGCAACGAUCUGGGCACUGUCUCAACGAGAGACUCGGUGAAAUUAUAGUACCUGUGAAGAUGCAGGUUACCCGCGACAGGACGGAAAGACCCCGUGGAGCUUUACUGCAGCCUGAUAUUGAAUGUUGGUACAGCUUGUACAGGAUAGGUAGGAGCCUUGGAAACCGGAGCGCCAGCUUCGGUGGAGGCAUCGGUGGGAUACUACCCUGGCUGUAUUGACCUUCUAACCCGCCGCCCUUAUCGGGCGGGGAGACAGUGUCAGGUGGGCAGUUUGACUGGGGCGGUCGCCUCCUAAAAGGUAACGGAGGCGCCCAAAGGUUCCCUCAGAAUGGUUGGAAAUCAUUCGCAGAGUGUAAAGGCACAAGGGAGCUUGACUGCGAGACCUACAAGUCGAGCAGGGACGAAAGUCGGGCUUAGUGAUCCGGUGGUUCCGCAUGGAAGGGCCAUCGCUCAACGGAUAAAAGCUACCCCGGGGAUAACAGGCUUAUCUCCCCCAAGAGUCCACAUCGACGGGGAGGUUUGGCACCUCGAUGUCGGCUCAUCGCAUCCUGGGGCUGUAGUCGGUCCCAAGGGUUGGGCUGUUCGCCCAUUAAAGCGGUACGCGAGCUGGGUUCAGAACGUCGUGAGACAGUUCGGUCCCUAUCCGUCGCGGGCGCAGGAAAUUUGAGAGGAGCUGUCCUUAGUACGAGAGGACCGGGAUGGACGCACCGCUGGUGUACCAGUUGUUCUGCCAAGGGCAUCGCUGGGUAGCUAUGUGCGGACGGGAUAAGUGCUGAAAGCAUCUAAGCAUGAAGCCCCCCUCAAGAUGAGAUUUCCCAUUCCGCAAGGAAGUAAGAUCCCUGAAAGAUGAUCAGGUUGAUAGGUCUGAGGUGGAAGUGUGGCGACACAUGGAGCUGACAGAUACUAAUCGAUCGAGGACUUAACCAAUUUGAAUGUAUGCUUGGAUAUGAGAAGGCAGACCCGGGGAACUGAAACAUCUAAGUACCCGGAGGAAGAGAAAGCAAAUGCGAUUCCCUGAGUAGCGGCGAGCGAAACGGGACCAGCCCAAACCAAGAGGCUUGCCUCUUGGGGUUGUAGGACACUCUGUACGGAGUUACAAAGGAACGAGGUAGAUGAAGAGGUCUGGAAAGGCCCGCCAUAGGAGGUAACAGCCCUGUAGUCAAAACUUCGUUCUCUCCUGAGUGGAUCCUGAGUACGGCGGAACACGUGAAAUUCCGUCGGAAUCCGGGAGGACCAUCUCCCAAGGCUAAAUACUCCCUAGUGACCGAUAGUGAACCAGUACCGUGAGGGAAAGGUGAAAAGCACCCCGGAAGGGGAGUGAAAGAGAUGAACGAGGUAGAUGAAGAGGUCUGGAAAGGCCCGCCAUAGGAGGUAACAGCCCUGUAGUCAAAACUUCAUUCUCUCCUGAGUGGAUCCUGAGUACGGCGGAACACGUGAAAUUCCGUCGGAAUCCGGGAGGACCAUCUCCCAAGGCUAAAUACUCCCUAGUGACCGAUAGUGAACCAGUACCGUGAGGGAAAGGUGAAAAGCACCCCGGAAGGGGAGUGAAAGAGAUCCUGAAACCGUGUGCCUACAAGUAGUCAGAGCCCGUUAACGGGUGAUGGCGUGCCUUUUGUAGAAUGAAAGCCAUCCUUGAAAUACCACCCUGUCGUGCUUGACGUUCUAACCUGGGUCCAUUAUCUGGAUCGGGGACCGUGUAUGGUGGGUAGUUUGACUGGGGCGGUCUCCUCCUAAAGAGUAACGGAGGAGCUCGAAGGUACGCUCAGCGCGGUCGGACAUCGCGCACUGUGUGCAAAGGCAUAAGCGUGCUUGACUGCAAGAUCGACGGAUCAAGCAGGUAGGAAACUAGGACUUAGUGAUCCGGUGGUUCUGUAUGGAAGGGCCAUCGCUCAACGGAUAAAAGGUACUCCGGGGAUAACAGGCUGAUACCGCCCAAGAGUUCAUAUCGACGGCGGUGUUUGGCACCUCGAUGUCGGCUCAUCACAUCCUGGGGCUGUAGUCGGUCCCAAGGGUAUGGCUGUUCGCCAUUUAAAGUGGUACGCGAGCUGGGUUCAGAACGUCGUGAGACAGUUCGGUCCCUAUCCGUCGCGGGCGCAGGAAAUUUGAGAGGAGCUGUCCUUAGUACGAGAGGACCGGGAUGGACGCACCGCUGGUGUACCAGUUGUUCUGCCAAGGGCAUCGCUGGGUAGCUAUGUGCGGACGGGAUAAGUGCUGAAAGCAUCUAAGCAUGAAGCCCCCCUCAAGAUGAGAUUUCCCAUUCCGCAAGGAAGUAAGAUCCCUGAAAGAUGAUCAGGUUGAUAGGUCUGAGGUGGAAGUGUGGCGACACAUGGAGCUGACAGAUACUAAUCGAUCGAGGACUUAACCAAUUU
rnacentral:rRNA from 1 species